rnacentral:rRNA from 1 species
AUGUUGAUGGAGUUAUCUCUGGUCAGUUCAGCUGCAAGUUCACACACGGCAAGUUUUACUAUUAUCAAUGGAAGAAGUUCUGAUAUGUCCACCACUGAGGCCAGACCAGUAGGCCAUAUGGGUUGCUUCUUGAUUCUAACCACGAAGAAUUUUAUUUUGUUAGGAAGGGUUCAUUUUCUCUCUUCCGGUGUUUGGAAGAUCUGGAGCAACUUAUUUAUGGUUCUUCAGAUGAAUGGGGGAAAUCUCGGUGGUGUUGGAAUGAACUUACUGGACGACAUAUCUGACUCUGGAACCCUCAUUGAAGUCCUUAGAUAUUAA